UUACAAUAUAUAUUUAUUGAAUUAAUUGUAUAUUUGUGAUUUUUAGGGAGUUUUUUAUGACCAUGUUGAAAUCAACUUUUUCAUAAAUGGAAAGAAUGUUUUGUGUCCUGUCACUGGAGCUAAGGGCGAAGUUUUUCCCGUUUUGUAUGUUGAUGAUGGUGCAAUACUUGAUGCAGCUUUCGCCACAUUUACUCACCAGCCUCCAUCAGGAUUUGACAGAAUAAUGGUUGAAAAAUCCUUGUUGUAAUUUCAUCUACAAGAAAAGUUUGUCUACGGUAAGAACUCCCCUGCCACAAGUUCUGAGGUCCUCUGCUGCUAUAGAAACAAAAAUAGUGCAUCUCAGAGAGGGUAGCUUCUCUUCACUCUAGGACUAACACAGUAGACCGAAGAAAAAAAUUCCCUUUUUUUCGCCCACCUCACCCCUACUUAAAAUAGUUAUACCUUGUUACCAUAGUCCCCUCCACGGGUAUAGACGAAUGGUUCUUACUUUAGACAAAAUAUACCAGGGUUGUCUACAAAGGGAGUAGGGAGAACAAGGGAAAACCUGGAAAAUACAGGGAAUUUAAAAAUCACCUAAAAUAACAGGGAAAAUGAGGGGAAUUAUGAGUUUUUCCUUACUAAAUGGGAAAAUGCAUAGAAUUUUAUUUCUUAUUUUCGUCUUUCCAAAAGUACUGACCUCACAAAGCGUAUUCUAUGGGAUAUGUAAGGAUGAUUUAUCUUCUAUACUAAACUAUCUCAUUUACUAUAGUAUUAUUUGUUUUCAGUAUGCACAGGGAAAAAACAGGGAGUUAUUUUUUUCAAAUUUGAGGGCCAACCCUGUUUACUAAUUGGAUAUUAUAAGUAGCAACCAAACAAGCCUAUUAACCCUUUGACGGUUAAGGAAAUGGGCAGUUUUUGUUUACUUAAUUCGUAACAGUAUUACGAGUAAACAGAAGUCGAAGGUGGCAGCUGUUUUCCUCCGCCAUUCUUCCGAAAAUGUCACCCUUCUCUGGCGAUGGCGUAGAUAGCUCGCCUCACUCGUUUUAAAAAUUUCUUUAAGUAUAUGUAGUACAUAAUACAUAAAUAUCCGUUUUUACAUACGUUAAAAUAAUUAAUAAAGAAUAAUUAUUUAAUGGUACAUUAUAAAUGAUUACAAUCAAUUAUAUAAAUAGUAAUUGUUAAUUAUAAGUAUAAGACAAAUAUUAAAUUGAAAGGGCUCGAUAAAUGCAACUAAUGUAAAACUUUAUGAAGAAUUUGAAUACAGUAAUUACCUAAACAUCUUUUUGUACACGCUGUAAAAAAAUUACAGUAAUUACCUAAAAAUCUUUAACAAUCAUAAUCAUCAUCAUAAUUAGCUAACUUUCGCUUUUGAGCCAUUUUACUUUACAAACACCCUAAAAAAAGUGCCAAAAUAAGCAUAAAAAGAACAAGGAAAAAAAAAUUCCCCCUUCAUUAUGAAAAGAAAUUCAUGGAACCCGUACUGCCAUCUGUAGACAGCAAAACUAACUACAUUUCGCGAGUAGGAUUCGUUUGUAACAUAAUCAAUGCAGAAUAAUAAUGGUGAACGAGCUCAGCUCGUCAAUGCGCAUUGGGGGGAAAUGUCACUACGCUAGUAGUACUUGUUUCUAACCAUUUCGGUUGAAAUCUUGCUCCCGAGCGGGACUCGUUUGCACGCUUUAUGCAGGGUUUGUUAUUCCUUAUACUCCUUAGAAACUCCCUGGAAAUAAAAAGGUCCUCAAGGAGUACUUGGAACUACUUAGAUUUCAAAAUUAGUUCUUAGAAACUCCUUAAAUUAUUGCGUUGCAUAGAUGAACUUACUAAGUCCGCUGUUGAAUUUGCUGUCCAAGCAGGGAAACGAAAUGAUAUGACUUAGCUGUCAAGAUCUAAUAGUUAAAGAAAAACUUUGAAAGAAAAAAAAUUGAUUUGCAAGAGUUGGAAGAAAAAAAUAGCAGCAAAUAAUUUUAAUUUUACAUGUUACAAGCAAACUUAAUUAAUAAUUUACUGUGAUAUAUUUUUUUUCCCGUUUAAAAUACCUUAGAUAAAACGCCUUUCUUACGUAUUCAAGUUUAAAAAUAUAAGAUUGGUCGGUUUUUAUGUUAAUCUUUAACAUGUGUACUUUAACAGGAUUAAUUAAAAUAAUUGAGACUGGAAAAUGUAUUUAUGUGUAAAUGUGAUAACUUUAUUUAUUUUUCUUGUUGAAGUUUGACAAAGUCAAAAUUUAUUUCAAAAGCGCUAGAAAAAAAUAUGCAAACUAUACAACAUUUUUGUGAGUUCCUUAUAAUAACUGCUUUUUUAAUUUAAAGAAAAAAACUGCCUAAUUAUCUUUUACACAAAGUUUUUGGAUAAGUCCUUAAAAUUUUGGACUCCUUGGAUACUCAUACAUAUGGAUUUCUUCUUCUGAUCUCUGUAUGAACCCUGUUUUCUGAAUGAUAUUUUCUAUGCUAGGCAUUAGUGAUGCAACGGAUCUUAAUUUGGCCUGAUGACGGAUAUCCGGCCAAUCUUUGAGCCAGAUAUCCGGUAUCUAGCCGCAGUACUUUUUUUAAAACAAGUAUUAAUAAAACAAUUCCUCAGAUCGAUUAUCACUUUAUUCUAAUAUUUGUCUUUAAUAUAACUGCCAACCAUUCAGAUCUUUUCUCAAUUUUUUAAAUCAAGUGAAACUAGAAAAAAAAAAUUUAAU